rnacentral:rRNA from 1 species
CCUACGGGGUGCAGCAGUGGGGAAUAUUGCACAAUGGGGGAAACUCUGAUGCAGCGACGUCGCGUGAGUGAAGAAGUAAUUCGUUACGUAAAGCUCUAUUAGCAGGGAAGAAAAUGACGGUACCUGAGUAAGAAGCCACGGCUAACUACGUGCCAGCCGCCGCGGUAAUACGUAGGGGGCAAGCGUGAUCCGGAUUUACUGGGUGUAAAGGGAGCGUAGACGGUGCGCCAAGUCUGGAGUGAAAUGCCGCAGCUUAACUGCGGAACUGCUUUGGAAACUGGCGAACUAGAGUGCGGGAGGGGUAGGCGGAAUUCCUGGUGUAGCGGUGAAAUGCGUAGAUAUUAGGAAGAACACCGGUGGCGAAGGCGGCUUACUGGACCGUAACUGACGUUGAGGCUCGAAGGCGUGGGGAGCGAACAGGAUUAGAUACCCUUGUAGUC